UACGGAGGGUGCAAGCGUUAUCCGGAUUCACUGGGUUUAAAGGGUGCGUAGGAGGGCAGGUAAGUCAGUGGUGAAAUCUCCAAGCUUAACUUGGAAACUGCCGUUGAUACUAUCUGCCUUGAGUAUUGUGGAGGUGAGCGGAAUAUGUCAUGUAGCGGUGAAAUGCUUAGAUAUGACAUAGAACACCAAUUGCGAAGGCAGCUCACUACACAAUCAUUGACUCUGAGGCACGAAAGCGUGGGGAUCAAACAGG
rnacentral:rRNA from 1 species